GAGUUUGAUCCUGGCUCAGGAUGAACGCUGGCGGCGUGCCUAAUACAUGCAAGUCGAGCGAACAGAUAAGGAGCUUGCUCCUUUGACGUUAGCGGCGGACGGGUGAGUAACACGUGGGUAACCUACCUAUAAGACUGGAAUAACUCCGGGAAACCGGGGCUAAUGCCGGAUAAUAUUUAGAACCGCAUGGUUCUAAAGUGAAAGAUGGUUUUACUAUCACUUAUAGAUGGACCCGCGCCGUAUUAGCUAGUUGGUGGGGUAAUGGCUUACCAAGGCAACGAUACGUAGCCGACCUGAGAGGGUGAUCGGCCACACUGGAACUGAGACACGGUCCAGACUCCUACGGGAGGCAGCAGUAGGGAAUCUUCCGCAAUGGGCGAAAGCCUGACGGAGCAACGCCGCGUGAGUGAUGAAGGUCUUCGGAUCGUAAAACUCUGUUAUUAGGGAAGAACAAAUGUGUAAGUAACUGUGCACGUCUUGACGGUACCUAAUCAGAAAGC
rnacentral:rRNA from 1 species